rnacentral:rRNA from 1 species
GGUAGUCCACGCCCUAAACGAUGAGCAUUAGAUAUUAGACAUUAAGUCUAGUAUCACAGUUAACACAUUAAAUGUUCCGCCUGAGUAGUACGGCCGCAAGGUUGAAAUUCAAAGGAAUUGACGGGAACCCGCACAAGUGGUGGAGCAUGUGGUUUAAUUCAAUACGAAGCGAAGAACCUUACCAAGGCUUGACAUGGGAGGUAGUAGCAGCAAUGUUAUUACUAAAUUAGAGAAAUCUAAUUGAAUCACACAGGUGGUGCAUGGUCAUCGUCAGUUCGUGCCGUGAGGUGUAUGGUUAAG